UACCAGCUCUUCGAGUGGUGUGGAUGUUUAUUGGGCCUAAAGCAUCCGUAGCUGGCUAGGUAAGUCUCUUGUUAAAUCCACUGAAUUAAUCGUUGGAUCGCGGGGGAUACUGCUUGGCUAGGGGACGAGAGAGGCAGACGGUAUUUUUGGGGGUAGGGGUGAAAUCCUAUAAUCCCAGGAAGACCACCAGUGGCGAAGGCUGUCUGCUAGAACGCGCCCGACGGUGAGGGAUGAAAGCUGGGGGGAGCGAACCGGAUUAGAUACCCGGGUAGUCCCAGCUGUAAACGAUGCAGGCUAGGUGUUUGGACGGCCACGUGCCGUUUCUAGUGCCGCAGGGAAGCUGUUAAGCCUGCCGCCUGGGGAUACGAUCGCAAGAUUGAAACUUAAGGAUUGGGCGGGGAGCACCACGAAGGGGUGAAGCUUGCGGUUU
rnacentral:rRNA from 1 species